AGCGUUGUCCGGAUUUAUUGGGCGUAAAGCAUGCGUAGGCGGAUAUUUAAGUGGGAUGUGAAAUCCCGGGGCUUAACCCCGGUGCUGCAUUUCAAACUGGAUAUCUAGAGUGCAGGAGAGGAAAGCGGAAUUCCUAGUGUAGCGGUGAAAUGCGUAGAUAUUAGGAAGAACACCAGUGGCGAAGGCGGCUUUCUGGACUGUAACUGACGCUGAGGCAUGAAAGCGUGGGUAGCAAACAGGAUUAGAUACCCUGGUAGUCCACGCCGUAAACGAUGGGUACUAGGUGUCGGGGUUUCAAUACUCCGGUGCCGCAGUUAACACAUUAAGUACCCCGCCUGGGGAGUACGAUCGCAAGAUUAAAACUCAAAGGAAUUGACGGGGGCCCGCACAAGUAGCGGAGCAUGUGGUUUAAUUCGAAGCAACGCGAAGAACCUUACCUGGGCUUGACAUCCCGAGAAUCCUGUGGAAACAUAGGAGUGCCCUUCGGGGAACUCGGUGACAGGUGGUGCAUGGUUGUCGUCAGCUCGUGUCGUGAGAUGUUGGGUUAAGUCCCGCAACGAGCGCAACCCUUGUUGUUAGUUGCUACCAUUAAGUUGAGCACUCUAGCAAGACUGCCUGGGUAACCAGGAGGAAGGUGGGGAUGACGUCAAAUCAUCAUGCCCCUUAUGUCCAGGGCUACACACGUGCUACAAUGGUUGGUACAGAGAGAAGCAAGACCGUGAGGUGGAGCCAAUCUCACAAAGCC
rnacentral:rRNA from 1 species